rnacentral:rRNA from 1 species
UACGGAGGGUGCAAGCGUUAAUCGGAAUUACUGGGCGUAAAGCGUGCGCAGGCGGUUUGUUAAGUCCGUUGUGAAAGCCCCGAGCUCAACUUGGGAAUUGCAGUGGAUACUGGCAGGCUGGAGUACGGUAGAGGGUCGCGGAAUUCCCAGUGUAGAGGUGAAAUUCGUAGAUAUUGGGAAGAACACCGGUGGCGAAGGCGGCGACCUGGUCCGUUACUGACGCUGAGGCGCGACAGCGUGGGGAGCAAACAGG